UCCGAUAUGGUGUAGUGGCCAACAUGAUGCCCUCUCAUCUCGUCAAUGAGAGGUUAGGCAUAGCCCCGAGUUCGAUUCUCGGUUUCGGAA
rnacentral:tRNA from 1 species